rnacentral:rRNA from 1 species
GAUGAACGCUGGCGGCGUGCCUAAUACAUGCAAGUCGAGCGAACAGAUGAGGAGCUUGCUCCUCUGACGUUAGCGGCGGACGGGUGAGUAACACGUGGAUAACCUACCUAUAAGACUGGGAUAACUUCGGGAAACCGGAGCUAAUACCGGAUAAUAUAUUGAACCGCAUGGUUCAAUAGUGAAAGACGGUUUUGCUGUCACUUAUAGAUGGAUCCGCGCCGCAUUAGCUAGUUGGUAAGGUAACGGCUUACCAAGGCAACGAUGCGUAGCCGACCUGAGAGGGUGGUCGGCCACCCUGGAACUGAGGCACGGUCCAGACUCCUACGGGAGGCAGCAGUAGAGAAUCUUCCGCGAGGGGCGAAAGCCUGACGGAGCAACGCCGCGUGAGUGAUGAAGGUCUUCGGAUCGUAAAACUCUGUUAUUAGGGAAGAACAAAUGUGUAAGUAACUAUGCACGUCUUGACGGUACCUAAUCAGAAAGCCACGGCUAACUCCGUG